GGAUGUAGCUCAGUGGUAGAGCACCUGCCUAGCAUACAUAAGGCCCUGAGUUCAAUCCCCAGCACCA
rnacentral:tRNA from 1 species